ACCAGGCAGCAUGUGGAAGAACCAGCCCUUCCUCCUUCCCCAGCCCUGGCCCUCAGCCUUCUGGCCCAAGUUGGACUGCUACCUUUGACCCAGUGCCUAUGGAUGCCCCAACAGGCCCCCCAGUUUCCAAGGAGGCAGACAUAUCCUCUAUCCAGAUCCUAUCCAGCCCUCCAGCCCACGAUUCCCCACAGCUCAGUGCAACCAGAGACCCCUCUACCUCUGUCCCAGACUUCAAGGCCCACCAAUCCCCUCAGACAAUGGAGGGGAAAAAGAGCCCAGAACAUUUGGGGCUUCCCCAAAACCAGAGUGCCCAGGCCCUUGAGAUGCCCAAUGGUUCUACCCCAGGAGGGCCCAUUACAUCGGGUUCUCAGUAGCUGCCUGGUG
rnacentral:lncRNA from 1 species